CCUACGGGUGGCAGCAGUGGGGAAUAUUGGACAAUGGGCGAAAGCCUGAUCCAGCCAUGCCGCGUGUGUGAAGAAGGCCUUCGGGUUGUAAAGCACUUUCAGUGGGGAAGAAAGCCUCGGGGCUAAUACCCUCGAGGAAGGACAUCACCCACAGAAGAAGCACCGGCUAACUCCGUGCCAGCAGCCGCGGUAAUACGGAGGGUGCGAGCGUUAAUCGGAAUUACUGGGCGUAAAGCGCGCGUAGGCGGUCUGAUAAGCCGGUUGUGAAAGCCCCGGGCUCAACCUGGGAACGGCAUCCGGAACUGUCAGGCUAGAGUGCAGGAGAGGAAGGUAGAAUUCCCGGUGUAGCGGUGAAAUGCGUAGAGAUCGGGAGGAAUACCAGUGGCGAAGGCGGCCUUCUGGACUGACACUGACGCUGAGGUGCGAAAGCGUGGGUAGCAAACAGGAUUAGAUACCCCAGUAGUC
rnacentral:rRNA from 1 species